AAUGAACGCUGGCGGCAGGCUUAACACAUGCAAGUCGAGCGGAGAUGAGGUGCUUGCACCUUAUCUUAGCGGCGGACGGGUGAGUAAUGCUUAGGAAUCUGCCUAUUAGUGGGGGACAACAUUCCGAAAGGAAUGCUAAUACCGCAUACGCCCUACGGGGGAAAGCAGGGGAUCUUCGGACCUUGCGCUAAUAGAUGAGCCUAAGUCGGAUUAGCUAGUUGGUGGGGUAAAGGCCUACCAAGGCGACGAUCUGUAGCGGGUCUGAGAGGAUGAUCCGCCAAACUGGGAAUGAGACACGGCCCAGACUCCUACGGGAGGCAGCAGUGGGGAAUAUUGGACAAUGGGCGGAAGCCUGAUCCAGCCAUGCCGCGUGUGUGAAGAAGGCCUUUUGGUUGUAAAGCACUUUAAGCGAGGAGGAGGCUACCUGGAUUAAUACUCUAGGAUAGUGGACGUUACUCGCAGAAUAAGCACCGGCUAACUCUGUGCCAGCCGCCGCGGUAAGAC
rnacentral:rRNA from 1 species